CCACACCAAACUCAAAAAGAAGAGAGUAGCUAGCUAAGCAUUACAAGUCUCUGUGUAACUACAGCAAAUUAACAAGAUCAAGAAGAUGCACGGUCCGGGAGGAGGUGGCGGCGGUCCGGGAGGACAAGGAGGCGGCGGUCCUGGAGGACAAGGAGGCGGCGGUCCUGGAGGACAAGGAGGCGGCGGUCCUGGAGGACAAGGAGGAGGCGGUGGUCAGGGAGGCGGUGGUCAGGGAGGUGGUCAGGGAGGCGGUGGUCAGGGAGGUGGUCAGGGAGGCGGGUGGUCAGGGAGGAGGCGGUCCAGGAGGCGGCGGUGGUCAGGGAGGAGGCGGUCCAGGAGGGCCAGGACAUCACGGCGGACACGGGGGUGGAGGUGGACCAGGUGGUCGCUGCUAAGUGCUAAUGGUUUCGACCAAGAACUUCUAGUGUACUUAUAUAUAUAUAUAUAUAUAUAUAUAUAUAUAUGCUGAUCAUGUUUUAUAGUUAAUUAGUUUACUAAUCAUGUUUAAGAUCACCGCACCAGACCAGCUCAGCUGGAGAGGAUCUGGGGAGGAUCAUGUGUCCGUCCAUAAUGGUACUAUGUUGAAUAUGCUGCAUAUUAUGAUAUCAAUAAAAUGGAGUUCCGUUUAUAUUUAUAUGAUAUGAUUGGAAUUAUAUGAAACCUUUUAUCA
rnacentral:lncRNA from 1 species